GCGGGAAAAGCUCAAGUUUGAAAUCCGGGGCCGUCCUCUGGAGUUGUAAGCUGAAGAGGCUGUGACCGACGUGGGCCGGGUCCAAUUCCCUUGGAACAGGGAGUCAUGGAGGGUGAGAACCCCGUCUGUGACUCGGAUCCCAUCGUCCUAGUGUCGCGGUCUCCAAGAGUCGGGUUGUUUGGGAAUGCAGCUCAAGAUGGGUGGUAAAUCUCAUCUAAAGCUAAAUAUUGGCGAGAGACCGAUAGCAAACAAGUAGAGUGAUCGAAAGAUGAAAAGCACUUUGAAAAGAGAGUGAAACAGUACGUGAAAUUGUUGAAAGGGAAGCGUUUGGCAUCAGCCCAUGGCCUCCGACGAUCAUCCGGGCCUCGUGUCCGGUGCACUUGUCGGGGGUCGGGCCAGCAUCGGCUUCGUCCGUCGGAGAAAGGUCCAGA
rnacentral:rRNA from 1 species